rnacentral:rRNA from 1 species
AUUGAACGCUGGCGGCAGGCUUAACACAUGCAAGUCGAGCGAGCGGCGGACGGGUGAGUAAUGUCUGGGAAACUGCCUGAUGGAGGGGGAUAACUACUGGAAACGGUAGCUAAUACCGCAUACCAUCAGAUGUGCCCAGAUGAGAGUAGCUAGUAGGUGGGGUAAUGGCUCACCUAGGCGACGAUCCCGAGCUGGUCUGAGAGGAUGACCAGCCACACCGGAACUGAGACACGGUCCAGACUACUACGGGGUGCAGCAGUGGGGAAUAUUGCACAAUGGGCGCCAGCCUGAUGCAGCCUUGCCGCGUGUGUGAAGAAGGCCUUCGGGUUUGAAAGCACUUUCAGCGAGGAGGCGUUACUCGCAGAAGAGGCACCGGCUAACUCCGUGCCAGCAGCCGCGGUAAUUC